CUUUCCAUGGAUCACCGUGGACAACGCACGGUCCGGACAGCGGAGGUGCGAAUAACAUUAUAUGGCCUGGCGUCGGCAUGCCAAAAAGCAAGAAAAUGACCUAAAGGAACUAAAGAUGUUUGAGGAAGCGUUUUUAAAGAUGGUUGCAGUGAAGAAGCCAGGCUAGUGCUGCCGCUUGCGGGACACCUUGCCAUUGUGGCAGGACAUAAUCCUGAUCAUUUUCUGCAGGCUCCAUCAUCACAGACCAGAUCAGGGGUCCAGACCACCUUUACUU